rnacentral:lncRNA from 1 species
GCGCAAGGCACCUGCUGGCAAUGGCAGGAGGCGGACGUGGGGGGUCGUGCAGUAGGUACUGGAGGGAGAGACGUGGGCACAAAGGUCGCGGGAGGAACAGGUGCCCACAAUGGCUGCAUAUUUGCCCGUGGAUCACUGAAGAUUCCUGCUCUCCUGCUGAGGUGGAGACUGCAGUGAGCUGAGAUCGCACCAUUGCACUCCAGCCUGGGCAACGAGUGCAAAACUCAGUCUCCAGAUAAAAAAAAGAAAAAGAAAAAAAAGAGGCCGGGUGUGGUGGCUUAUGCCUAUGAUCCUAGCACUUUGGGAGGUCGGGGUGGACGGAUCACGAGAUCAGGAGUUGGAGGCCAGCCUGGCCAACAUAGUGAAAGCCCGUCUCUAGUAAAAAUACAAAAUUUAGUCAGACAUGGUGGGCAGGAGAGAGCAUGUGCAGGGGAACAUCCAUUUAUAAAACCAUCAGACCUCAUGAGACUUAUUCACUACCAUGAGAACAGCAUGGGGGAAACUGCCUCCAUGAUUCAGUUAUCUCCACCUGGCCCCACCCUUGACACAUGGGAAUUGUUACAAUUCAAGAUGAGAUUUGGGUGCGGACAGAGCCAAACCAUAUAAUUCUUCCCCGGCCCCUCCCAAAUCUCAUGUCCUCAUAUUUCAAAAGCAAUCAUGCCUUCCCCUAAGUCCCCCAAACUCUUAUUUCAGCAUUAACUCAAAAUUCCAUAGUCCAAAGUCUCAUCUGAGACAAGGCAAGUCCCUUCCACCUAUGAGCCUGUAAAAUCAAAAGCAAGUUAGUUAUUUUCUAGAUACACAGGGAUACAGGCAUUGGGUAAAUACACUCGUUUCAAAUGGGAGAAAUUGGCCAAAGCAAAAGAGCUACAGGCCCCAUGCAAGUCCAAAACCCAGCAGGCAAAUCUUAAAGCUCCAAAAUGACCUCCUUUGACUCCAUGUGUCACAUCUAGGUGAUGCAAGAAGUGGGUUCCCAGGGUCUUGGGCAGCCCCGCCCCUGUGGCUUUGCAGGGUACAGCCCCCCUUCUGGCUGCAUUGAGUGUCUGCAGCUUUUCCAGGCACACAGUGCAAGCUGUCAGUGGAUCUACCAUUCUGGGGUCUGGAGGAUGGUGGCCCUUUUCUCACAGCUCUGCUUGGCAGUACCCCAGUGGGGACUCUGUGUGGGAGCUCCAACCCCAUAUUUCCCUUUGACACUGCCCUAGCAGAGGUUAUCCAUGAGGGCCCCCCCCUCCCCUCCCCCCCACAGCAAACUUUUGCCUGGAUUUCCAGGCAUUUUCAUACAUCUUCUGAAAUGUAGGCGGAGGUUCAUGAACGUUAAUUCUUGACUUUGGUGCAUCUGCAGGCUUAACACCACCUAGAACCUGAAAGGCUUGGAACUUGCACCCUCUGAAGCCAUGGCCUGAGGUGUACCUUGGCCCCUUUUAUCUAUGGCAGGAGCAGCUGGGAUGCAGGGCCCCAAGUUCCUAGGCUGCACACAGCAGGGGGUUCUGGACCCACAAAACCAUUUUUCCUUCUAAGCCUCCUGGCCUGUGAUGGGAGGGUCUGCUGUGAGGGUCUCUAACAUGCCCUGGAGACAUUUGCCCCAUUGUCUUGGUGAUUAACAUUUGGCUCCUCAUUACUUAUGCAAAUUUCUACAACCCAGUCUCCUGAGAAAAUAGAUUUUUCUUUUCUGUUGCAUCAUCAGGCUACAAAUUUUCUGAACUUUUAUGCUCUGCUUCUUCUCGAAUGCUUUGCUGCUUAGAAAUUUCUUCUGUCAGAUACCUUAAAUCAUCUCUCUCAAGUUCAAAGUUCCACAGAUCUGUAGGGAACUCUAGAAAGAAAUUCUUAUUUUCCCUCUUUCCCGCCUAUCUUAUGCCCGUUUCUAAUACAGGUGCACAAUGCCUGCAGUGUCUUUGCAUAGUAAGAGUGACUUUACUCCAUUUCCCAACAAAUUCCUCAUCUGCCUCUGAGACCACCUCCGCCUGGACCUUGUUGUCCAUAUCACUAUUAACAUUUUGGUCAAAGCCAUUCAACAAGUCUCUAGGAAGUUCCAAACUUUCCCACAUUUUCCUAUCCUCUUCUGAGCCUUCCAAACUGUUCCAGCCUCUCCCUGUUACCCAUUUCCAAAGUUGCUUCCACAUUUUCGGGUAUCUUUACAGCAGCACCCCACUCUACUGGUAUCAACUUAUUGUAUUAGUCUGUUCUCACACCGCAAAUAAAGACAUACCUGAGACUGGGUAAUUUAUAAAGGAAAGAGGUUGAAUUGACUCACAGUUCUGCAUGGCUGGGGAGGCCUCACAAUCAUGGUGGAAGGCAAGGAGGUGCAAAAGCAUGUCUCACAUAGUGGCAGGCAGGAGAGAGCAUGUGCAGGGGAGCUCCCAUUUAUAAAACCAUCAGAUCUCAUGAGACUUAGUCACUACCGCGAGAACAGUAUGGGGGGAACCAUCCCCAUGAUUCAGUUAUCUGCACCCGGCCCCACCCUUGACACGUGGGAAUUAUUACAAUGCAAGGGCUGGUGAAUUACCAGAUCUCCGUCAAGUGCAGUAACCAGUUCAAGUUGGAAGUGUGUCUUUUGAAUGCAGAAAACAAAGUCGUGGACAACCAGGCUGGGACCCAGGGCCAGCUGAAGGUGCUGGGUGCCAACCUCUGGUGGCCGUACCUGAUGCACGAACACCCCGCCUCCCUGUACUCGUGGGAGGAUGGUGAUUGCUCACACCAAAGCCUUGGACCCCUCCCAGCCUGUGACCUUUGUGACCAACUCCACCUACGCAGCAGACAAGGGGGCUCUGUAUGUGGAUGUGAUCCGUGUGAACAGCUACUACUCUUGGUAUCGCAACUACGGGCACCUGGAGUUGAUUCAGCUGCAGCUGGCCGCCCAGUUUGAGAAUUGGUGUAAGACAUCACAAUCCCAUUAUUCAGAGCGCGUAUGGAGUGGAAACGCUUGUAAGGCUUCACCAGGAUCCACCUCUGAUGUUCAGUGAAGAGGACCGGAAAAGUCUGCUAGAGCAGUACCAUCUGGGUCUGGAUCAAAAACGCAGAAAAUACGUGGUUGGAGAGCUCAUCUGGAAUUUUGCCGAUUUCAUGACUAACCAGUCCAAGGAUGAAGGAAAAACUGGACCUCAUUAUGGAUUUACUUUUGGGAUACACUCAUUAUUCCAGAGGAGGGUAAAAGGCUGAGAAGCUUAAGACUUGCUAUAAUUCUGUGAGAGAGCUAUAAAAGUCUGCUCAGAAACAUUAUAAUGUAAAAUGGACAGAGAAGGACAAUGAGAUAUUUAAUUUGCCACGGCAAAGCCAUUGCUGUGAAGAAUGGAUAAUAUAUGUCAAUGGUAAUAUAUGAAGAAAUAACACAGAUGGAGCUGGCUUGAAAUCCUCUUGUUUAUGGCAGUACAUAUCGGUUAUGAUUCAAAAAAUAUAGCCCAUUUCCAAAAACCUGCAACAAAGAGAUACUUUCUCAGGUGUCAGUUUCUUGGUCGGGAAUGAAAAUAGUGCCAACCUGUGAUACCUUCACUCUAAUUUUACUUUCUGAGGAAGUUUUCUGUAAUAGUUAUUUGGUGAUAAUUAUUAAUACUGGUGAGAAAAUCAAUGUAAAAGAGGAGAAAUAACCCACACAACCACAUACAACUAGGAAAUGAUAGAUGGAUCUGAAAAAAAGGAUAUGCACUCUUAACAAGUUCAACACCCAAGUACUAUUGCAAGUACCAGCUGUAUUUCAUGGAAAAAAAAAAAAGAAUAACUCAAAAGGCAGAACGAAGAGCCUAGAGGUCAGAGAUGAGAGGCAUGAAUAAUUAUUCACAGGUGUUGAAUAUAAUCAAAUGACUUGCAACAUUUACCACUGGGAUUUUAAAAUGUGGUGGACCAAUCAUUCUUUUAGUCUGUGCAUUUUCCCAUUUUUUUCAACAGGAAUGUCUAGAGACAUUAUUCCUGUUUUGCCACUGUAUUUUUGGUGAAUGUGUAGUAAGUAACUGGCCUCUUUAGUAUCACAAAGCUGGAUGAAGAAAAUGUGGUACAUAUACACCAUGAAAUACUAUGCCGCCACAAAAAGGAAAUGAGAUCAUGUCCUCUGCAGGGACAUGGAUGAAGCUGGAAGCCAUUAUCCUUAGCAAAGUAACGCAGGAACAGAAAACCAAACACCACAUGUUGUCUCUUAGAAGUGGGAGCUGAACGAUGGGCUUUGCAGAGAUUAAAGCUUCAGAAAAAAAUAUGGGAAAAUAUGUUAAAAUGUUGACCUGAAAAUGAAGUGGAUGACUAUAAAACUCUUGAGAGAAUUAGACUUUUUGUAGCAGUUUAUUACAUGAUAAUACCUUAAAGGAGAUCACAUUCAGUGACCUGCGUUGACAGAUGUGAAUUUCUUCGGAGUAAGAAAUCCUCAGAGGAAAUUACCCAGUAUAUUCAAAGCUACAAGGGAUUUGUUGACAUAACGGUAAUGUAUAACAGCAAUUUUUUUCUCAAGUUUUUGGAUUACCUGUAAGUGUCUGACUCAGAAGGGCAUAGGCAUUCUUUUUAUGUCAUGGGUUUGAUUUCUUUCUUCCUUUCUCCUUUCAUUCCCCUGGCUCCCAUCUUCAAAGUGAAAAAUAUCACAUUCACUUGCUGACCUAGAGCCUUUUUCUUUUUCCAGGGCUGGCUUCUGACGGGCUCUGCUUGCCUUCCUGAUAGUCUUCCCCUUUAUGAAUGAAGCCACUUGCCCCAGCUUCCCUCUGCUGCCCCUAUCUGCAGGCUUGCUAAGAUCUCCUGACCUAGGCGCUGUCACCCACAGUGGGCUGCAGAGCUGGCUCUUCCUAGCUGGCUAACUAUCCUGAAUCAGUAAAAAUUUCCUAGUGGAGAGUGAUGGGAAAUCGAAUCCAAACUGGCUUAAACAAAAAUGAGAAUUUAUUGAUUAACAUGACUCAGGAGACCAGAACUCUAUAGAGAACAUGGCCUGACAGUGGGGGAAGAGAGGUGUUUCCUCAAAAAGAAACUGGGUGCAGCUUUCCCAGAAGAAUCAGUUGCUCAAUAUAUAAUACCCUGAUGAAUUUAGUUACCAUUCUAUGUCUCUUACUUCCUCAUUCGUCAAAGUACAUCUGUGAUAUUUAAAUGCAGGUCUGUUUUCAAGGUCAGUUUCCGGAAACAGUGACCCUGAGAAGGCUUCCUCCUGAGUAUGCAUAAACAUUCACAGCUUGCAUGC